GUAGUCAGGUGGAGGAGAGCUGGAGGGAGAUACAGGUGGAGGUAGUCAGGUGCAGGAGAGCUGGAGGGAGAUACAGGUGGAGGUAGUCAGGAAGUGUGACUGUCCCUCUGCCUCCCCCUCUCUCUUUUUCUCCUCCUUUCUGUACAGAUGCUCCUGUACCUAGACCUGCUCCUUGUACCUCCCUCCCCCAUCUCUCUUUCUCUCACCUCCCUUCUUAAUUCCUCUUCCUGCCCCCUCUCCACUCUUAUAAAUAGGUGUUAUAAUACCUUGAUUCCAAAUGCUCAAAUCAAAAGAGGGGUGUCCGCCAGGGUUGUAAGGCCCACACUAUUUAAUAUCUUUAUCAAUCAACUAGCAGAGACCCUUGAACAAUCAACUGCAUCCGGCCUGCCUCUCCAUGACACAGAAAUCAAAUCCCUGUUUAACAUAGAUGAUCUGGUUCUGAUGUCACCCACUGUUACGGCCUGUGGGCCUUUUGUGUAGUGUUUGUCUGCCCUGUCGUGUUUGCCCCUCCCCUUUUUGUUCUCCAUGUCGUUGUCUGCAGGUGUGUCUGUCUGCGAUUGGCUGUAUUCGUUCCGGAUUCGGUCCAAUCCCGAUCCCGUCCGUCUUCCCCGCAGCCUUUAAGACCCCGGAACUGUCGUUGGAACGGGCAGUCAGCCUUCCGCAUUCUGUUUUGUGUUCUCAUGUAUGUUCUUUUGGUAGCAGGUCAUUGUGUUUGUUGCGUUUCGUGUUGUUCGUUUGGUCGUUCACUGGAGAGAGGGGACAGGUAAGCCGCCCAUGGGUAUACACUCCCAUCACUCAGCUUACUCCCUUGUUACUUCACUAGGCAAGGAGCGGUGCCGCACCAUGUAGUUUUGUAAGAGAGGCAUUGUUUGGGUUAGGUAUUUAGCACUUUUAUUGUUUUCAUUCCUUUGGCACCGUUCAUGGUCCCCUUGUUCUCCUGUUUUCUGUUUGUCAAAUAAACACACGGUUCUCUACA